AGAGCAUGUAGGGAUGGCAAUCAAGGAUCUGGACCGCGGGCAUGGCCCGUAAAAGCUUGCAGGGCGGGAUUGGACCUCCAUUUGGUAAGCCCGCAAAAUUGCGGGCCUCGCGGGACGGGUUCAAAGCGGGAUGGGCUACAGGUUAACCUGUGGGAUUUUGAAGACCCGCAACCCUAAGUCCCCAUUUCUGCCUUCACCUAAAACAUAGAGAGUGAGAGAGAGAGAAGGCGAUUCGACGUUAUGUAGCUCCGGUGAUGGUGGUUUCAGGGUUGAUGAUGCUUCCGGUCUCCCAAGC
rnacentral:lncRNA from 1 species